rnacentral:rRNA from 1 species
CAGCAGCCGCGGUAAUUCCAGCUCCAAUAGCGUAUAUUAAAGUUGUUGCAGUUAAAAAGCUCGUAGUUGAACCUUGGGUCUGGCUGGCCGGUCCGCCUCACGGCGUGCACUGGUCCGGCUGGAUCUUUCCUUCUGGGGAGCCCCAUGGCCUUCACUGGCUGUGGGGGGAACCAGGACUUUUACUGUGAAAAAAUUAGAGUGUUCAAAGCAGGCCUUUGCUCGGAUACAUUAGCAUGGAAUAAUAGAAUAGGACGUGCGGUUCUAUUUUGUUGGUUUCUAGGACCGCCGUAAUGAUUAAUAGGGAUGGUCGGGGGCGUCAGUAUUCGGCUGUCAGAGGUGAAAUUCUUGGAUUUGCCGAAGACUAACUACUGCGAAAGCAUUCGCCAAGGAUGUUUUCAUUAAUCAGGGAACGAAAGUUAGGGGAUCGAAGACGAUCAGAUACCGUCGUAGUCUUAACCAUAAACUAUGCCGACUAGGGAUCGGACGGUGUUUUUUUGAUGACCCGUUCGGCACCUUACGAGAAAUCAAAGUUUUUGGGUUCUGGGGG